rnacentral:rRNA from 1 species
ACGUUACCAAACUGUUGCCUCGGCGGGAUCUCUGCCCCGGGUGCGUCGCAGCCCCGGACCAAGGCGCCCGCCGGAGGACCAACCAAAACUCUUUUUGUAUACCCCCUCGCGGGUUUUUUAUAAUCUGAGCCUUCUCGGCGCCUCUCGUAGGCGUUUCGAAAAUGAAUCAAAACUUUCAACAACGGAUCUCUUGGUUCUGGCAUCGAUGAAGAACGCAGCGAAAUGCGAUAAGUAAUGUGAAUUGCAGAAUUCAGUGAAUCAUCGAAUCUUUGAACGCACAUUGCGCCCGCCAGUAUUCUGGCGGGCAUGCCUGUCCGAGCGUCAUUUCAACCCUCGAACCCCUCCGGGGGGUCGGCGUUGGGGAUCGGCCCUCCCUUAGCGGUGGCCGUCUCCGAAAUACAGUGGCGGUCUCGCCGCAGCCUCUCCUGCGCAGUAGUUUGCACACUCGCAUCGGGAGCGCGGCGCGUCCACAGCCGUUAAACACCCAACUUCUGAAAUGUUGACCUCGGAUCAGGUAGGAAUACCCGC